rnacentral:rRNA from 1 species
AUUGAACGCUGGCGGCAGGCCUAACACAUGCAAGUCGAACGAGUGGCGGACGGGUGAGUAAUGUCUGGGAAACUGCCCGAUGGAGGGGGAUAACUACUGGAAACGGUAGCUAAUACCGCAUACCAUCGGAUGUGCCACGAUGGGAUUAGCUAGUAGGUGGGGUAAGGGCUCACCUAGGCGACGAUCCCUAGCUGGUCUGAGAGGAUGACCAGCCACACUGGAACUGAGACACGGUCCAGACGCCUCCGGUAUGCAGCAGUGGGGAAUAUAGCACAAUGGGCGCAAGCCUGAUGCAGCCAGGCCGCGUGUAUGAAGAAGGCCUUCGGGUUGUAAAGUUCUUUCAGCGAGGAGGCGUUACUCGCAGAAGAAGCACCGGCUAACUCCGUGCCAGCAGCCGCGGUAAUUC